rnacentral:lncRNA from 1 species
UUUUUUUUUUUGUUUGUUUUGUUUUUUGUUUUUUAAUGAUUUUGCAAAGAGAUAUUGUAUCAGUGGCCAGUUUGGUUAAUAUCUCACUAUGUGGGAAGUUCAAGGACAAGCCCUGGCUCAAAGGGUGGGGAAUGUGAUGAUUUGUGGUUUAGGUAUUAGUGUCUGCUAGCAGCAGCUGGAGAAAAUGUUCUUUAGUGAGGUGGCAGACCAUUCAAAGGGGAAAUAUGGAUACAUAUGCUUAUUCCAGCAGCUUCCUGUUCUGUCUCCUGUUGACUGAUGGUCUUCUCCAUAAGGAAUGAAUGAGAAUGCCAGUGGUGAGGUUGAAAAAGACUGUCUUUCACCACCCAGAGUAGUGCAGAUAGCUGAGAAAGAUUUCUCACUACUGUUUGGCACUCCAGAAGUCUGCGUCUGUGUGGACUUGAUUCCCAAGGUCCACUCCCACCUCCCAGAAUUGGGCACAGAACGAAAAAGAGUAGCUAAUUAUAAAGGUGUGUUCAAUCCACUUUUCAUCAAGAGAGAACUUGAGGCUGGUCUCCAGAGCAGUAGUUUGAGGUGAUUGAAUGUCAUCAUGAGGGAAGAUGGGAGACAUGGUAUAGAUCACCUCCUUGCCCUUUAGACAAGAUAGCCUCCAAGUUAUUUGCAACACAGUAGAUGUAUCCAUCCUGAUUUUAAAGAUCCUCUGAUUUCACUGCUUACUAGCUUGUUCUUUUAAAAUGUUCCUGCGUAUGUAACAUUUUUCUAAUUCUAGACAAAAAAAAUUAUAAAAAGAAGUACUUCUUAUUUCCUUGGAGUUUUAUAUAGAUUGCAUUUUGUAUCUCUCCAAAAUUAGAAUGUGAUGGGAAGAGUUUUUGAAAGCUUAUGAUCAUAUGGAAAGGAGAUUUCUGAACCUCAUGGAGGUGUCAAGAAAAGAUGGCUUGAGCAUAAUUAAUAUCAAACCAAGAGAAAAGACUGUGAUUUGGGUUGGUUAUUGACUAUUAGCUGACUGUAUGUAUAUACAUAUGUGUGUAUGUGUAUAUUUGAAACGUCCAACCAUUUGUUCAACUGUCCUCUGGAAGGUGAAAUUAUACUUUAGAAGAGUGUGAAGAUAAGUUUCUUCCCUGUACUGUCCAUAAAUGUCCCACUCAUCCUGAUUAAAUGUAGUUUCUCCAUAGUGAGGAGCUAGUAAAGCAAUUUAGAGUAACACACAAUCACUAUGAUGGAAUUUUCUGCUCAAAAUGUCAAAAGUUGGUUAUUAUUUGAAAAGAGGCCAAGGAACUAAAUCAAACAGGUCUAUAGGAAGGACCAGACAAGAGAUGUGGCUCUUUUUGGCUGAGACAAGAGCUCUAAUGAGAGCUGGAGGGCUAACUGGAAAGUUUUCAAAUCAGAUCACUUGGUAGAACUAUUUAGGAUGCUAAAACACCAAAUUUGAAAGAAUGACAAUAGCAAGAUUAAAACUAGAAUCCAGGAGGUACAAGUAGUGGUGAGGGCACAAAGUUUAUUGUCACUCUACAUCCAACUCUGCAUUAGGAAGAGGAGCCCCAAAGGAUGCCUUGCAUGUAACAGAAAGGAAGGGAACAUUAGUAAGGCAAGUCUGAGGGAAAACAGAAAAUUUUAGUAAUUUAACUUGCAUCUUUGUAAAAGAGAUCAAAUGCAAGCAGAGUAACUUCUCAAUUUGCUGAAGGAUUUGAAAGUCCCAUAGUAUAAGUAGGUAACUCUGACUCUAGAAAAAUAUAAGAUAAUUUGAUUGGGAGGGCAUGCUGUCUCUUGGGAUGAAACUGAGGGGCUGUUGUGUUAUAACAGUCCAGUGCCAGUGCUUUUGAGAAGGUAUGAGUACUACAGAAAACAUUGAGGGUGGCAAAGAACAUUUCCUCCUUUAAAUAGAAUAAAAAAGGUAGCCCAAACAAUAGACAUAAAAGCAAAAAUAAACAAAGAGGACUUAAACUUACAAGUUUAUAUACAGCAAAGGAAACCAUAAACAAAAUGAAAAGACAACCUACAGACUGGGAGAAAAUAUUUUCAAAUGAUGAGACUGAUUAGGGAUUAAUUUCCAAACUAUACAUGUAACUCAUGCAAGGCAUCAUCAACAACAACAAAAUAAACCGAUUGAAAAACUGGCAGAAGACCUAAAUGCACAUUUCUCCAUAGAAGACAUCCAGAUGGCCAAUAGCCACAUGAAACGAUGUUCAUCACUAAAUAUGGGAGAAGUGCAAAGAAAAAACUACAGUGAGGUACCACUUCACACCAGUGAGAAUGGCCAUCGUUUAAAAGUCUAUAAAUAACAAAUCCUGGAAGGGACAUGGAGCUAGGGGAACCCUCCUUAAACUGUUGAUGGGAAUGUAAAUUGAUGCAGCCACUAUGGAAAACUAUUUGGAGGUUUUUCAAAAAACUGAAGAUAGAGUUGCCAUAUGAUCCAGCAAUCCCACUCCUGGGCAUAUAUCCAGAUAAAAUUAUAAUUUGAAAAGGUAUGUGCAUCCCCCUGUGUUCAUAGCAGCACUAUUUACAAUAGCUAAGACAUGGAAAUAACCUAAAUGUCUAUUGACAGAGGAAUGGAUAAAUAAGAUGUGGUGUAUAUAUAAAUAUACACACACACACACACUAGAGUAUUACUAAACCAUAAGAAAGAAUGAAAUAAUGCCAUUUGCACAACAUGGAUGAACCUAGAGAUUAUCAUACUCAAUGAAGUCAGAGAAAAACAUAUACCUAUGAUAUCACUUACAUGUGGAAUCUAAAAUAUGACACAAAUUAAUCUAUCUACAAAACAGAAACAGACUUACAGACAUAGACAACAGACUUGUGGUUGCCAAGAGGGAAGGGAUAUGCGGGAAGGGAAGGAUUGGGUGUUAGAGAUUAGCAGAUGAAAACUGUUACAUAUAGAAUGGUUAAACAAUAAGGUUCUACUGUAUAGCAUAAGGAACUACAUUCAGUAUCCUCUAAUAAACCAUAAUGAAAAAGAAUAUAUAUUUGUAUAACUGAAUCACUUUGCAAUACAGCAGUAAUUAACAACAUUGCAAAUGAACUUGCUCAAUAAUAUUUUUUUAAUUAUUUUAUUUUAUUUUUUUGUCUUUUUGCCAUUUCUUGGGCCACUCCCAUGGCAUAAGGAGGUUCCCAGUCUAGGGGUCUAAUCGGAGCUGUAGCUGCUGGCCUAUGCCAGAGCCACAACAACGUGGGAUCUGAGCCAUGUCUGCAACCUACACCACAGCUCACAGCAAUGCCGGAUCCUUAACCCACUCAGAAAGGCCAGGGAUCAAAUGCACAACCUCAUGGUUCCUAGUCAGAUUCAUUAACCACUGAGCCACGAUGGGAACUCCAAUAAUUUUUUUAAAGGUAGCUUACAGUAACUACCUACUGUUAGGCAUAAUAUCAAUAACUUGUAUACAAGUGUUUAUAGCAGGAUUAUUCAUAAUGGCCAAAAAGUGAGAAUAACAAAAUAUUCAUCAACUGAUAGUGGACAAACAAAUGUAGUAUAUCCUGUGAUUUGUUUUUCAGCCACACAAAGGAAUGUGAUACAUGCCACAGAAGUUAUGCAAUAAUGAUGUCUAUUUGGAGCUUUAAGCAUUGUGUAACUUGCUUAGCUUAUAGUAGAGAGGAGGCAGCAACCCUACAAAUCCAGGUGAGUAAGGAUUUGCUGUUGACAUCUGAUAAGGGAAAAGAGAAUUAGAGUAGUCAGAAAAGGUUGAAAAGGUAGGUGUGGUGGCUUCAGUAAAGCAAAAUGUAUUAAAGGGUUCAGUAAAGCAAAAUGUGUUAAAGGGUUAAGUCUAGCACUGUCCAGAUAACACAAUCUAGAUACUCUGUGCUUCCCUAUCAAGUUGCUAGCAAAGUAUACUCUGUGACAAAUGAAUAUCUUACUGGAAUUUUUCAGAGUUGUGGUGAUAUAACCACCAUCUCUCUCCAGUGUCUACAUACUGCUUUUUCUAUUUCGAUCUGGUGCACUUACCCACUUUCUGAGUCACUUCCUAUUAACUUGACUUCCUGGGUUGGGCAUUCUGUGGUUACUGGAUACCUCUAGUGAUAAAUUAAUAACAUUGUUCUGCUUUAUUCACUGGCCUUAACAAAGUUUAAUUUGUAUGAGUAUCAUCUAGGCCAGAGAUUUACUUUGCAUUUCAUGCAAAUGGAAAUGACAAGAAAGCUGGGAUAGCAUACUCAUGUCAGACAAAAUAGACUUUAAAACAAAGGCCAUAAUGGAAAAGGAGGACACUGUAUAAUGAUAGAAGGGUUAAUAUAAGAGGAGGAUAUUACACUUGUUAAUGUAUAUGUACCCAAUAUAGGAGCACCUAAAUACAUAAAACAAAAAGUAACAUACAUAAAGGGAAAAAUUGAUGAGAAUGCAAUAAUUGUAGGAGACUUUAUCACCCUAUUGACAUCAAUGGACAGAUUUUCCAGACAGAAAAAUCAAUAAAGCAACAGAGAUCAUAAUGACACAAAGAAGAGUUAGACUUCAUAGAUAUUUUCAGGACAUAACAUCCAAAAAAAACCCAAACAAAACAAAAUCAGAAUAUAUAUUCUUUUCAAUGCACAUGAAACAUUCUCUAGAAUAGGUUACAUAUUAAUACAUGAAACAAACCUCAACAAAUUUAAAGGGAUAGAAAUUAUUUCAAGGAUCUUCUCUGACCAGAACAACAUGAAACUAAAAUCAACCCCAGAAAGAUACAAAAAGAGUUACAUGGAAACAUGCUGCUAAAAAAAAAAAAAAAAAAAAAAAAAAAAAAAUGGGUCAAUGAUGAAAUCAAAGAUGAAAUUAAAAAUUACAUUGAGAUAAAUGACAAUGAAAACAUAACUGUACAUAAUCUAUGGGAUACUGCAAAAGCAGUCAUAUGAGGGGGAAUUCAGAGCAAUACAGGCCUUCCACAAAAAUCAAGAAAAGUCUCAACCUAAGCUACCACUUGUAAGAGAUAGAAAAAGAACAAACAAAACCUAAAGUGAGCAGAAGGAAGGAAAUAAUAAAGAUCCUUGGAAAUAAACUAGAGAUUAAAAAAUAGAAAAAUCAAUCAAAGCAAGAGCUGAUUUUUUGAAAGGGUAAACAAAAUUGACAAACCUGGUCCAGGCUCACCAAGAAGAAAAGAGAGAUGACCCAAAUAAACAAAGUAAGAUUUCGGCUUUCAUUUCUUUAAAUUCAACUAAGCUAAAGUCUUAAAUAUCAGGAAAGGUGGACAUUAUCUUUUAUAUAAUACCUUUCUAAAGUUUUAAAAAGGAAUAAAAAUCAGACUUAAAAGAAUUGCUAAUUUAUCUUCUAAUGUCCUAUGAGAUAUGAGAGAGUGAUGGGUUAUUGGCAUUGCAAACUAUGAUACUGUUCAAUUAUAAAAAGCUAGGACAAGCCCACUUCCAAUUUUUACUAUUAAAUAUAGCCUGGCUGCUUGGGAUAAGCAGCCAUGGUGAUAUGGGGAGCAUUAGGCCACUUCUGAGAGAAGAAAAUCUUAUUCUGCCCUCAAUGGGACUCCAGGAAACAUAUUAGCACUGGAUCCUCUGGUCUAUGCUGAUCUCUCUCAGUUCUUCCAACAGACCAGUCCAACUCAGCUCCUGCCUACUGGCCAGUUAUGGGCUCUCUGGAAUUCCUGACUCCCCACUUGAACAUUGAACAGCCUCAGUUCCUAGGUGUGAGAGGGAAAUGAAGAGUCCUAUGUUGUCACAGAAGCAGCCUUGCCAUCCAAGUCCCUCCAGCCCAGUUAUGGCCUGACUGUAGUCCAUUGUCCUAUACUAUGAAGAGCAGGCACCCUUUGGGCACAUGAGGCUUUUUCUUUUAGACUCUGGUUGAAUGUGCUAGAUUAGCCUUUAGGGUAUGUUUGCAUUGACAUAAAGAAUCUUAAAGUCAUGCAAGUAUUUCAGAGUUUGAUGACAAAUAUCUCCCCUUGGAAAAACAUUCACGUGUCUGGAGUGAAGAUUUUCUGUGAUUUAGACUGAUAGAAUUAAGAUAUUACAAUUAAAACUGUCUUCCUGGUUGUUCUAAGAGAGUAGUUCUGCAGAGGGCUAGAGAAGACAUCCAAGAUUUUUGCUAUGGCAAAACAAAUCUGAAGUUUAAGGGAUAGGAGACAGUGUUUGGCAUGGAUUAUUUUGCUUAUUCCAUCCACUUCACCUUGGUGGGCUGGAAUAUUGAUUAAAGGUUCUAGGUGCACAAUGCAAGUUACGCAGUCUUCACAGGGAGGGAGUCUGUGGUGUAGCUGAGAGUACCCACCAUGGAUGGAAGUUAGCUUUAGAGUAAGGAAGACCAAAUUCAUCUUCCACUCAUUGGGCCUUUGCAAAAAAAAGUAGAAACCUUAGAAUGGCAACUGAAUGAAGGCAAAUGUGAAUGUAAUAAAUACAGAUGAGAAGACUUCAAACCAGGUUUUUUCUUUUCUUUUUUUUGUCUUUUGUCUUUUUAGCGAUGCACUUGCAGCAUAUGGAGGUUCCCAGGCCAGGGGUUGAAACAAAGCUGUAGCUGCCAGCCUACACCACAGCCAAAGCGACGUGGGAUCCAAACCAAAUCUGUGACCUAAACCACAGCUCAUGAAAAUGACAGAUCCUUAACCCACUGAGCAAGACAAAGGAUCAAACCUGCAUCCUCAUGUAUGCUAGUCAGAUUCAUUUCUGCUGAGUCAUGAUGGGAAUUCCUGGAACCAGAUUCUUAAAUGCAGAAUGAAUUUUUACUGUCUGGAGGUGUCCAGAGGGGGGACAAUUUGAAAAUGUAGGUGAAGAAGAGUCUGGUCAUAAGAACCAUCCUUGCUGCAUUGGUUUGUUGACAU